CCUACGGGGAGCUGCAGUGGGGAAUAUUGCACAAUGGGGGAAACCCUGCUGCAGCGACGCCGCGUGAGUGCAGAAGUAAUUCGUUUUGUAAAGCUCUAUCAGCAGGGAAGAAAAUGACGGUACCUGAGUAAGAAGCCCCGGCGAACUACGUGCCAGCAGCCGCGGUCAUACGUAGGGUGCAAGCGUUAUCCGGAUUUACUGGGAGUAAAGUGAGCGUAGACGGCAGUGCAAGUCUGGAGUGAAAGGCGGGGGCUCAACCCCCGGACUGCUCUGGAAACUGUACGGCUGGAGUGCAGGAGAGGUAAGUGGAAUUCCUGGUGUAGCGGUGAAAUGCGUAGAUAUUAGGAGGAACACCAGUGGCGAAGGCGGCUUACUGGACUGUAACUGACGGUGAGGCGCGAAAGCGUGGGGAGCAAACAGGAUUAGAUACCCCAGUAGUC
rnacentral:rRNA from 1 species